AUGCGGAACGGAGCAAUCCGGUC
rnacentral:snRNA from 1 species